AUGAACACAUGCUCCCAUCCCUAGUACAAAAUGAUUUUCAGUUGUUAACCACUUGCAAGUGAAACAGUAGUUUUCUCCAAUGGAAACUUUCUGCAGAAACAAAACAUUCUGAAAGGUCCUUGAUGUACAUGUGAUAACUUUCAGCUUAGUGUUUUUAUGUGACUCCUGGUAUUUGACAAAAGAAAGGAAAAGAAGAGAAGAGGAAAGAAAAGAAGAGG